rnacentral:rRNA from 1 species
UACGUAGGGUGCGAGCGUUAAUCGGAAUUACUGGGCGUAAAGCGUGCGCAGGCGGUUCGUUGUGUCCGUCGUUGAAAGCCCCGGGCUCAACCUGGGAAUUGCAUUCGAGACUGCAUUUGCUGGAGUACGGAAGAGGAAGGCGGAAUUCCCGGUGUAGCGGUGAAAUGCGUAGAUAUCGUAAGGAAGACCAGUGGCGAAGGCGGGUCACUGGGACAGUUCCUGACGCUGAGGCACGAAGGUCAGGGGAGCAAACGGG